rnacentral:rRNA from 1 species
UACGUAGGGUGCAAGCGUUAAUCGGAAUUACUGGGCGUAAAGCGUGCGCAGGCGGUCAUGUAAGUCAGCUGUGAAAUCCCCGGGCUCAACCUGGGAACUGCAUCUGUGACUGCAUUGCUGGAGUACGGCAGAGGGGGAUGGAAUUCCGCGUGUAGCAGUGAAAUGCGUAGAUAUGCGGAGGAACACCGAUGGCGAAGGCAAUCCCCUGGGCCUGUACUGACGCUCAUGCACGAAAGCGUGGGGAGCAAACAGG